GUGCUCACUUUGGCAGCACAUAGACUAAAACUGGAAUGAUGCAGAGAAGAUUAACAUGGCCCUGGUGCAAGGAUGACAUGCAAAUUCAUGAAGCAUUCUAUAUUUUU